CCUACGGGAGGCAGCAGUGGGGAAUAUUGGACAAUGGGGGCAACCCUGAUCCAGCCAUGCCGCGUGUGUGAAGAAGGCCCUCGGGUUGGAAAGCACUUUCAGUGAGGAAGAACGCCUGGUGGUUAAUACCCAUCAGGAAAGACAUCACUCACAGAAGAAGCACCGGCUAACUCCGUGCCAGCAGCCGCGGUAAUACGGAGGGUGCGAGCGUUAAUCGGAAUUACUGGGCGUAAAGCGCGCGUAGGUGGCUUGAUAAGCCGGUUGUGAAAGCCCCGGGCUCAACCUGGGAACGGCAUCCGGAACUGUCAAGCUAGAGUGCAGGAGAGGAAGGUAGAAUUCCCGGUGUAGCGGUGAAAUGCGUAGAGAUCGGGAGGAAUACCAGUGGCGAAGGCGGCCUUCUGGACUGACACUGACACUGAGGUGCGAAAGCGUGGGUAGCAAACAGGAUUAGAUACCCCUGUAGUC
rnacentral:rRNA from 1 species